CAGUCUGAAGAACAUUGCGUAGGUGACACUCUAGAGAUGAACUCUUCUUCAGGCUUAGUGACUGUGAUACUCAUCCUGCUUAGACAAAUACGUGGAGACUCAGUGACCCAGGAGGAAGGCCAAGUGACCCUCUCAGAAAAGGCUCCCCUGACUAUCAACUGCACCUACUCUUCCUCAGGGUACCCUACACUCUACUGGUAUGUUCAGUAUCCGGGAGAAGGCCUAAAGGUCCUCCUGAAAGCCCAGAAGGACAAAGGAGUUGGAAGAGAGAGAGGUUUUGAAGCCACAUACCGCCAAGACUCAAAAUCCUUCCACUUGGAGAAAGCGGCAGUGCAAGAGUCAGACUCGGCUGUGUACUACUGUGCCUCGAGUGACACAGUGACAGGACCUGCAGGGGGAGCUGAGCACAAACCCUGA